AUGCCAUUCACAUACCUUGGCUUACUUGUUGGUACUACCAGACCAAAAAUGGUGGAUUUCAUGCCCCUUGUUGACUGCAUGGAGAGGAGAAUGUCAGCUAGUUCUUCUUUUUUAAACCAGGGGGAAAGGCUUCAGUUUUUGAAUUCUGCUCUGUCUUCCAUGCCAAUCUUCUACUUGGGCAGCCUGCUUGUCCCUGCUGGGAUUUUAAAGCAAUUAGAGAGAAUCCAAAGGCAGUGCUUAUGGAGAAAUCAUAGAGAUGAGCCCUCCCCAUCCUUGGCAGCCUGGGACCUCAUCUGUAGGACCAAAAACAAAGGUGGAUUGGGAAUCCUUAAUCUGGGUGUUCAGAACAUGGCUCUCUUGCUCAAACAUCCCCAUAAAUUCCUAAAUAGGAUGGAUUUACCAUGGGUCUCACUUAUCUGGGAUUCAUAUUAUCAUUCUUCUGUACCCCAGGGGACUGAUAGUUGUGGUUCUUUUUGGUGGAAAGAUAUUUGCCAAUUGAUGGAUCAUUUUAGGAGCACAACUUGGGUGGAAGUCAAUUCUGGGAACUCAUCCUUGUUUUUGUUUGAUAAGUGGAAGCUUGAUGACACAGUAAUCACAUUGCAAACAAGAUUUCCAAGGCUCUUUUCCUAUGUAAAGGAUCCCUAG
rnacentral:rRNA from 1 species